rnacentral:rRNA from 1 species
UUUUCAGCAGCCGCGGUAAUACGUAGGGAGCAAGCGUUGUCCGGAAUCAUUGGGCGUAAAGAGCACGUAGGCGGCCCUGUAAGUCCGUUCUGAAAGUCAAAGGCUCAACCUUUGAAAGCGGAUGGAUACUGCAGGGCUAGAGUCCGGAAGAGGCGAGUGGAAUUCCUGGUGUAGCGGUGGAAUGCGCAGAUAUCAGGAGGAACACCAACGGCGAAGGCAGCUCGCUGGGACGGUACUGACGCUGAGGCGCGAAAGCGUGGGGAGCAAACAGGAUUAGAAACCCCGGUAGUCC